UACGUAGGGCGCGAGCGUUGUCCGGAAUUAUUGGGCGUAAAGAGCUCGUAGGCGGCCUGUUGCGUCCGCUGUGAAAUCCCAGGGCUCAACCCUGGGCGUGCAGUGGAUACGGGCAGGCUGGAGGCAGGCAGGGGAGAACGGAAUUCCCGGUGUAGCGGUGAAAUGCGUAGACAUCGGAAGGAACACCGGUGGCGAAAGCGGCGCGCUGGAUCCCUACUGACGCUGAGGCACGAAAGCCAGGGGAGCAAACGGG
rnacentral:rRNA from 1 species